UACGGAGGGGGCUAGCGUUGUUCGGAAUUACUGGGCGUAAAGCGCGCGUAGGCGGACCUGCAAGUCGGGGGUGAAAGCCCGGGGCUCAACCUCGGAAUUGCCUUCGAUACUGGUCAUCUUGAGUACGGGAGAGGUGUGUGGAACUCCGAGUGUAGAGGUGAAAUUCGUAGAUAUUCGGAAGAACACCAGUGGCGAAGGCGACACACUGGCCCGUUACUGACGCUGAGGCGCGAAAGCGUGGGGAGCAAACAGG
rnacentral:rRNA from 1 species